CCUCCAGUGUACUGUAGUAGUACACAGCGAACCUCGUACACAGCGUGUGUCAAAGGUCACAGUCUGAGUUCGUUUGGUAGCAGGAUGCACCGUUCACAGGCAUUGUGGCUUUGUUUUACAGUCACUCUCGCCGUCCCGAUAGUGGCUGGGGACGCCACAUUUGUUCGGACAACUCUUCAAGGACAUUUUUCAGAAGCCAGGCAUCACGUGACCAAUCCAGAUUAUAAACUCAAAACCAAAAUUUUAUUUCAACGGAAUUCAGGAAUUAUGGCCUAGAAACGCACGAGCAUUCCUUUACAGGUGAAAACCAGGUGGCUGCUGUCAAUGUUAUCGGCGUUCUGAAGGGUUCGAUGUUCAACACCAGUGAUGACAGGGUGUUCGGUAUCGCGGCUCACUACGACACAAUGAGAAACACAGCAGAUCCAGUAACCAACACCUGCUGGAUCCUCCACCAUUCAACCUCAAGACCUU